UUCACACAUUCUCUGUUCUCUCUCGGUCUCUCUCUCUCUCUCUCUCUAUUUCCCAUUUCUCACACGUAGCUCUAGGGUUUUACAGAGAAAAAAUUUUGUUGUCAAAAAUCAAAAUCAAUUAACAAACUGAUUUAUUUUAGUUUAGCGAAUAAGAAUCAUUCAGAAGCAUUGAUUCAUAAGUGCAUUCAUAAAUCUAUAACUAUUACAUAAAAGAACGGAAGCAUACACCUCAAUUGAAUCUAACGCUAUCUUAUUGUCCAUUUCACCCUUCUUGUGCAAAGAGAAUAUUAGUUGAACCAGGUGGCUAUCUUGUUCACAUCGUUUGAAGAUUGAAGGUCGAUCCUAGAAAUUUCCUAUUCGCUGAGUCGUAUUUGAACGAAAUCAUCAGCCACUGCUCUCACUGUGGCCUAUUAAGAGAGGAAAUCACCGGAGGUACAACACCUACACUAGCUCCCCGCUUCAUCACCAUCGCCGUGCUACAGAGAUGAAGAUAUAGGUUGGCAACCUAGAAUCCAAGAAGGGGCAGCUGAUUGGGAUGAAAAUUGGGACAAGUUUGAAGAUGAAGGGAAUCUGAAGCCAACAUGUGCAAGUUGUAGUUGUUUUAUAAUUUUGAUGAACUCUUGCCACUUUCGAGUUUCACAUUUGUCAAAGAGCUCACUCUUAAUGUGGAAAAUGUUGUGGCUCCUCUUCAGUUGUUAGUAAAGCAUCUUCCACAAAAGAGGGUGUACAUGUUUCAUUAACAAAUGCUGAUCAUAACUCAGAAACGCCACCAAAUGGAGGGGAAAGGAUUGCCGAUGAUGCUCAUAGCGAAGACAGCGUAGAACUUCAGUGCAAAUGGUUCACGCAUGCUAGAGAGACCUAGAGGUACAAGUUUUAAUUUGCAUCUUUUUGGUAUUUUCCUUCUACGUUGGAUUUGAAAUUUUUUAUUGGUGUCCGAACCUUUAAACCAUUGCACGGCAUCUAUCUACACCUAUUGUUUUAUUUGAAAAUCUGAAUUUCUACAUGAUUUUAUUAGUGCACUGAACACGGGGGUGUUGAAUCUGUGUUCUCUGGGGACAGAAGUGUUGAUGAACGAAACUAGGGUGCAUUUGACGCUCAUGAUACCGACUUAGGCUGGGACUUCAGUUCUGGUCCUAUAAAGGUUUUGAUUUGUAAUAUUAGGAGACUUAGCAGCUGAGGACGUGGUGUUUGGAUACUUUGAAGGACUUCAUUCUGAUGUGGAAAAAGGACUGAAGACCUUUUCUUUAGAAACUCUAUUUUUGCUUUCAGUGUUGCUUUCUGCAAUAAAGAGAGUAUUGCAAAGAUGUCUUUUGGCAUGGAUUUGUGGAUAUUCCAUUUUUGUGUACGGAGGACAAUUUCCACUUUUGUAUAAUCCCACUUUUUUGUUGUCCUUUGCUUUUUGUCUGGAUUUGUAUUACUUGUACAGAAUGCUUUUGACGUGGUACAUAAUACUUUUCGCAUGGAACAGACAAUUAUUGCCGUGAUAUAUAGAUCACCUUUUGAUGCCAAAUGGAUAUUUGGCACAGUAGUAAAUAUAUUUUUGUGCA